rnacentral:rRNA from 1 species
CGCGUAGGCGGGCUGUUAAGUCGGAGGUGAAAGGCUGGGGCUCAACCCCAUGCAGUGCCUCCGAUACUGGUGGUCUUGAAUGCGGCAGGGAGAAGUGGAAUGGCUGGUGUAGCGGUGAAAUGCGUAGAUAUCAGUCGGAACGCCGGUGGCGAAGGCGGCUUCUUGGGCCGAUAUUGACGCUGAUGCGCGAAAGCUGGGGGAGCGAACG